UGAAAGUGCAGUUUGUCAAGCUCCAAUUUUGUGUUAUGUGCAAAUGCAGCUUCUCCCCUUCUUAUUGUCUCCAGUUAAACAGUUCAGGACUGCUGUGCAAUGAUAUUUUAUUGUAUUUUUAUUCUUGUAUACCACAACUUGAAAAUUUUUGUGUCCCACAGACAAUGAUGCUUCUUAAGAAUGAUGCUUCUUAUGAGACCUUGGGCUCUUAAGAAAACAAUUGCCAAUGUGGAAUAAUCCCAUGUGGAAUACAAUACAGCGCCCCCACCUGGAUGAGAACCCCAAAUUCCCUCUGCUGCCAAGUAAUUUGCAAGCAAUCACAUGCAGUUUUACUGAGGUGUCAUAGCUGGGAAUAGAGUCCUUCCUCAGAAUCCUUCCUCAGAGCUUUUUAUUUAGAUUUAGAUUGUCACCCCUCCUCACAAUAUGGGCUGCUUCACUCAUGAUAUUUUUUAGCUCAAGCAAGAAAAUCACACAUAUUUGUAAACACCUGUUGUCAUAUAGGUACAGGGAGCUGAGAUUGGCAGCAGUUUGAAUGCAAUGGCAAACCCAGUUUUACAACAUAUAUUUUCAAGUUCCUGCCAUUGCAGAAAUCAUGGAUAUUUCCCCAAAACAGUGCCUCCGUGUGAGAGUGGAUUAGCUGUGAAUCUGGCAGUGGUUUCACACCUUCUAGAAAUGAUCACAUGGAGUCUAUAGCCCUGUACGGAUAUUCUGUAACUGGGUGCAUGGUAACCCAGGGGAAUGGAAAAGAUCUGGCCAGCCAUGCUCCUUGGGGACAAUAUUGGUUGGCAUCCUGGCUAAAGCUUCAUGUGCACUAUGUGACAUGUACUUGUGCAGUGGAACUUAUCUGCAUGCCAUGGAGUGAAUUUUGUCCAUCUCUUAUGUCAUAGUUGUUGGAAAUUCUCUGUAGUGAGAGAACCCCUUUCUCAUUAUAGCAGAGUGCACAGAGGCACAACACAGCGGAAUUUGCUUAGGCAUGCGUGUAUGCUGUGAGUAAAGUAACUUGGAGCCAAUUCAUAGUUUCAAAUCAAUAUAAAAGGCAUUUAUUAAGGAACUCCAUUCUAGAUAGGAAAGUGAGGAGUUAGGAUCUCUAAUCUAUCUAUCUAGCUGGAUGCAGCUGGAUUCUGCAUCUUCUCUGCACACAUGGUGCAGGGAGAGGAGCUUGCCAUGUUGCAAGGUAGAAGGACAGGUAGGGGAGAGAGAGAGGAAGGAAGUUAAUCCCUAAGAGUACCAAUCUACAUUUCAAAGGGAUAGUGUCAGAGCAGUGGAGAAGGGGUGACCAAUGUCUUGACCCUCUAGCCCUCUGACCCACUAAUCUGUCCUCCACUGUCUGAGACAAGAGACAGCGCAAAGUCCUUUAACUUCCAACAAUAGUUAUGUCAUGUCAUGUCAUAGUCAUGACAUGUCAUAGUUAUGUCUUAUGUAAGAGAAAUCUUGUCCAUCUCUAAUGUCUCUUAUUUUGUCCAUCUCUUAUGUCCCUGAGGACCGCACAACCUUCAGGGAAUAUUUUCAGGUGGCACAGGGCACGUCUAGGGGAAGAGGAGAUGAGUGAAAAUCACACAUGAGCACUGGUGCUGCAGUAGUCAUCUCAGGUGGAAAGCAAAUCGGAAACUCCAUGGAUCAGGAGUCUGGUCUGAAGGCACAUGUUGUAACCACCUUGCCCGACCUUGCACUAAUCAGGGCUCAUUUGGUGAGAGGAUAAGAGACCACUUGGGAACCUGCACAUGCCUCCUGCAGUUUAAUCAUGAAAGAAAGGUGGUAUAUAAAUAAAAUAAAGAAAUACUGUAGUCUUGGGGAUACAGUUCAAUAGAUUAUCCUUAUAUAUGACUAAGGACUUGCCAAAUUUGAUUGAAGGGAGAGCCCUAGUUUUGUUUUCCCUAUCAACAUUCUAGCUCCUGGGGUCAUUCACACAACUUACCAGAUGGGUGGGCAGGCUGGAGAAAGGUUUUGCAAAACUUGCCUUCUCCCCAGACGAGCAUCCUGAGCUUGGUGGGAGUAUGAUCCACACUCCCACACGAUCCCCACUGCUCUGUGCAGCGUGGAGCAGGGCGGAUUGCUCUUGUUAUCCUGGACUCCGGGUAUCCCACAGUGCACCACGUGCUGAGCAUGGUUCACUGGCAGAUUCCUUCAAGGGAUGGGUGCUCUAGGCGGGGGUCUCUUUGUCAGCGUGAGGUACAAGUAGCCUGCAUUGGCACCCAGUACUGGCAGCCUGGUUAAGGGAGUGUUUGUACCCUCAACCUUGGCUGAGAGCCAAACUUCGGUGCUGGGUUUGGCGCCAUGGCACCACCGGGAUCCAUGUGGAUUCUGGCAGUUCUCACAGGCAGCCAAGCCCAAGUUGGCUGCUUAAGCCUGGGCUUGACUGCUUGUGAGAACAGCCUCCCUGUCUUCCUAUUGCCCAAGUUUGAAUUCUUCCGCUCUCAGCCUGCUUCUUGGGUCCAGUUUCGUCAACCAUCCUUGAAAAACUUCACUAUCCUCUGAAGGGGUCUGGGAAGAGGCAGGCUGUUUUCUGCCAGUCCGUGAGAGGCUGCACAUCCAGAUCAGCUCUUAUGUACCUAAUUUUCACCCUUCCUGUGUAAUAUCUGAAAGGGGAGCAUGCACAUCUUGCCCAUGAGCAGAUGCAUUAGCUCCAGAUGUAUGAAUAGCUUGUGCACGGCUUUAUCAUGGGGUAAAUGUGCAGGUUCCCCUUUGGAUGUAAUGUUAGAGGCACACAUCAAUCACACAUCUCUUCUCUGCUCAGAUGACAUCCAAAGCUAUUCUGAGUGCUCCACUAGGACCCAAAGCUAUUUAAUUACACCUGUCAUUGAAAGAAUUCAACUUUCUAUGUGCAUCUUUGCCCUCCUUAAUGGAUGGUCCUUUGAUAGCCCUUUUGCUACCUCUGCAUUCAGUCCAAAUGGGGGGAAAAACACCCCCAUGAUUCUGCUGGGUUUUAGUGUGCUUGCUGCUGUUUCUGUAAUUGUUACUGUUUUAUUAUUCGAGUUGUUUCAUACGACUUUGCUAUUUUGCUUUAAAGCAGAUGUGGCCCCAAGAGUCUUGUCAGUGAAAAGCAGCUUAUAAAAUAACUAACCAAGUGUCAAGCUACACAAUAUGUUAAGGAUGUCAUUAGAGUUGACAUACUUGAUAUUUCUUUACAAAAUAGGAGCCUUUGUGGGGCAGGGAGAGAUCCAGUCUCUGUGUCAGCGGAGUCUGCAUCAUGGGAGGCUUUAAUCUCUCUCCCACCACAGUCCUAAUCCAGAUGACAUUUGCAAUCUGGAUCAAGAGCUUCAGGAGGAAAGCUCUCAUUGGUGCCAAUAGAAGCUUUCCUCCUCGGGCAGCCAUGAGAGGAGACCUGAUAUGGAUCAGAACCACAGUGGGGGCAAAGCCCCCUUCCCCCCCUCACUACAAUCCUGAUUUGCAUCUGGCCCCCAUGGUUUCUAUUUAGUAAAGAAAAAGAUAAAUAUAUCAGCUCUAAUAACAUUCUUAACCUAAUGUGUAGUUUGGCUCUUAAGUACUACUACUACUACUACCACCUAGCCAACCUUGCACAGAACAUCUGUGCGGUAUUUGGGGCUGGUGUUUCCCACCCGGGCUGGUCCUCCCCCCGUCCCCGCCUGUGGUUUCUGGCCAGCUUUAAAGCUGGCCUGGCCCCUCCUGGGCCAUCUCCUCUUCCUGGUGGCCCAGCCGCCUCCUCACCCCGCCGCCACCUCGCUACCACGGCUGGGCCCAAAACUGCUGCCACCUCACCACCGCAGCCAGACCUGACGCCGCCUCACCACCAAGGCUGGGGCUGCUGCCUCCUCAUUGCGUCCGCCACUGCCUCCUCAUCGUGUCCGGGCCUGCCGCUUUCCUCAUGUGGCUCCUUCCCAAUCGGGCCCCAAUUUGUUCAUCCUUGCUCCUGUCUUUGCCGGGAACUCUUGCAGCAUGUUGCGAGAGUUCCACGUGAGAGUUCCAGCCUGAAGACACACAUCCCCAUGGUGGGCAGCUAAGAGAAAUACUACUACUACUACUACUACUACUACUACUACUACUACUACUACUGCAAUAAGAUCAAAAGUAGAAAAAUCAACAACAAACAGCAAGUGUCGCUUUUGUAAAGAAGCAGAUGAAACAGUGGACCACCUGAUAAGCUGUUGUAAAAAGAUCGCACAGACUGACUACAAACAAAGGCAAUGACAAGGUAGCAGGGAUGAUACACUGGAACAUCUGCAAAAAAUACAAGCUACCUGUAGCCAAACAUUGGUGGGACCAUAAAAUUGAAAAAGUGGUAGAAAAUGAAGAUGCAAAAAUAUUAUGGGGCUUCUGACUACAAACAGACAAACAUCUGCCAUGCAAUACACCAGAUAUAACUGUAGCUGAGAACAAAGAAAAACAAGUCAAAAUAAUUGACAUAGCAAUACCAGGGGAUAGCAGAAUAAAAGAAAAAGAAAUAGAAAAAAAUCACAAAAUACAAAGAUCUACAAAUUGAAAUUGAAAGGCUGUGGCAGAAGAAGACCAAAAUAAUCUCAGUAGUAAUUGGCGCCUUAGGUGCAAUUCCAAAACAAUUUGAAGAGCAGCUCAACACCAUAGGGGCCACAGAAAUCACCGUCAGCCAAUUACAAAAAGCAACUUUACUGGGAACAGCCUAUAUUCUGCGACGAUAUCUACAACAACAGCAACAACAUUGACAAUAAAAUUGAAAGGCUGUGGCACAUAGGUGUUAUACACACACACACACACACACACACACACACACACACACACACACUUUACUAUGCUUUUUGUUACCACUAUCCAGCCUCAUUUAAGAUUUCUUUACUUCAUGAGCUGAGCUUCAGCGGAGGGGGGGGGGGGCAUUUUAACAUCUUAUCUCUGGGCCCACUCCAACCUUGCUACGCCCCUGGGUUAGUUAGUUUAUAACUAACACCCUUCAUUGACACUAGUCUCAGGGCAGCAUACACUUUCAAAAAGAACAAUAAGAUUGUAUUAAAAAUGCCAAUAAUAAAACAAUAAAAAUGGCAAAAGGGAGCCAGCGUGGUGUAGUAGCUAGAGUGCUGGACUAGGACCGAGGAGACCCGAGUUCAAAUCCCCAUUCAGCCAUGAUACUAGCUGGGUGACUCUGGGCCAGUCACUUCUCUCUCAGCCGAACCUACUUCACAGGGUUGUUGUGACGAGAAACCUAAGUAUGUAGUACACCGCUCUGGGCUUCUUGGAGGAAGAGCGGGAUAUAAAAUGUAAAAAUAAAAUAAUAAAUAAAUAAAAGCUGCAGCAAAAAUACUAAGACCCAGCAAAGCCUAACACUUAAAAAAAAAAAAAAAGUUUCAGACUGAAUGCAGAGAUGGUGAAGGCACCACCAAAGCACCAUCUAUCAGAAUGGCAGAGCUUGAUUUCCAAACUAAUGUACCUAAAUGAAUAAAAAAGGAAACAGCUUUUCACAGUAGCUUGGUGAAGCUUUUCUCAUUGCUUUAUCUUUCUGCCAGGAAAAGCUUUGCUUGCUUCUAAUACAGUCUGCUGUUAAAAGCAGAACCAGGUUUUAUCUUGCAAUCUUGUUUUUUUAUUGCUGUUUUUAAUUGAUUGCUUAUUAUUGUUGUUGUUUUAUUUGUAAACCAUGAUUUUUCUAAUUUGAAAGGUAUGAUCGAGAUCUCUUAAAUAAAUAAAAAACAAAAGGCAGCAAGCUGAGGAUGGAGAAUAAAUCUUUCAAAACAUCAUGUAAAUCAGGCAAGUGAGAGUUCAUUUUCCUACCCUCAGGAAUGAAGGGGGAAACUGCACCCACUUAGACCUCUGACACCUACUUUUCAGCUUGCUGGAGGAGAAAACGGAGUCUAACUUUAGAUUGGCUGCUAAUUGUCUAAUUAGUUUGUUUACUGCUAUGCACACCUUGCAGCCCAUUCCACCAGAUUCUUCCUAUCAGUGACGGAUGGCCAAGUUCAUCCCAGCAGCAUUAAAACAGUCUUGUGAUUGCCUUCCUCAUAAACACUGGCCUGGAAUUAGGAAAAGGAAACCUGCUGCAUUCUGGAUUACGAAGCCUUUGGGCCAAGGAUGAAGAUAAGCUCUGCUGACAGAUGCAAUAACUAACAGCAAGACAUCCCUACAGGAAACUGGCACAAGAAACUGGCACAAACUUCUCUGACCACGUGCCCAAGCUGAUUAGCAGGCCUCAUCAUUUGUCUUUCAAAUGAUUCCAAUUCCAAUUCAAAUUUGAUUCCCACAUAUCUUGUUUGAGACCAUAAAGUUUGUAUGUUGAGUUUUAAAACAUUUUGCUCUGCAAUGGUAACUUUAGAUUCCUUAAUGUGUCUUUUCACAGAAACAUCUUCUCAGGUGAAAAUGGAAGUAAGCAGACCUCAUGCGGAUUUCCACAUGAGAAACCAGUUUAUUCAUUUGUAUCCCACCCUUCCUCCAAGUUGCAUGUUAUCCUCAUAACUUUCCUGUGUAGUAGGUUAGGCAGAAUGAGAGAGAGACCUUAAUAAGCCCAGCUAUUGAGUUUCAUAGUGGAGUGAUGAUUAUAUGAAGCUGAACUAGGUUUCCAAAAUGUAGCAGGUCAGCAUUAUGCCACACUGGCUCAAAUUUGCUAAUCAAACCUUACAUCAUAAACCUUGAAUAUGAGACAUGUAUUUCUACUGGACAAAUGUUAACCAUUAGGGUAUCUUGGACCACUGUCCCUACCAUGAGUUCCCCAUCCAUGUUGCUGCUCAACAGCUGGCUUGUUUUCUUUCCCUUUAUCUAUGAUUGUUCUUUGGGCUGUGACAUACACAUGUCCAGGCAUUCACCUGCAUGUGUGUCGAGGGUGGAGCAGGAUUACAGUCACUGGCGCCAUCCCUACUGCCAUUUGAUGUGACAUAUGGAAAAAACCUAUCUUCUUGGCUGAAAGAGGCUACUCUCUUUAAGGAUGGUGAGGUAGCUCAGUGGUACACCACAUGCAUUGCAUAUAGAAUAGUCCCAGGUUCAAUCCCUAGCAUUCCAGGUAGAGCCGAGAAAGACCAUCACCAUUGUUGAGACCUGUGGUGCUGCUACUGUUGACCUGGAAGCAGAGGCACUGCUGUGGAGAACUACUGGUUGCACCAACAGUGUUCUAUUCUUUUUACCCAUUGUUGUGAAUGGGGGAAAAAUAUGGUAAUGCUGCUAGCAAAACUACCAGUUAUCUACAGCCGUGCCACUUUCAAAAAAACUUUGUUUUAAAAAGUCAUUAAAAUCAAAGGGUGGGCUGAUCUCCUUGAACAUCCACCCAUUUAAUGUCAUCAUCAUGUAGGAAUGCCAUGUGAAAUUAAAAGGUUUUCUGUCCAGCUAUGUGGGAGGUAUUAAUAGUUUUGAGUCUCCCAUUGAUCCCUACGGGGAAUUAUGAUUAAAGUUGGAAAUGUGGGUGCAGCUUCCCCUAGUGGUGAAUAUUGCACAUAUUCACGCAAUUGUAGAUCUGCCCCUGCCUGAAGCAUAAAACACAUAUGAUUUCCGAUUCCCCAAUACAUUGACAGCAUAUUUCUUUUAUGAUGAUUUCCUGCUUCUGUGACUGCCCUUUUGCUUUGCCUUCUGUCAUAUUGCAAGAAUCAAAUGUGUUACGAGGUCAGUUUCAGACAAUAUGUUCACGAACCUGUCCUAAUCAUGUGGGGCAGGAGCAUGGGCACAAACGUCUUCCCAUAUUUAUGUGCCAUUCAGCUCUUCCCCAAUUUAUGUGCCGUUCAGCCUAAUUUUGCAUCUGAACUCCCCUCAACACACGUACAACUUUAAAACAGUAUUUAAUCCACACAUUGAGGAAUAGUUCAGAUGAAUCACUUCCCUACACGAUUAGAUGACCGUGGAACAGUGCACCGGUGGAGAGAUGUGUGCCCAUGCUCCUGUCCUAUGUGAUUAGGACGAAUAGUUGGAGUAUUGCCCAAACCAGCACAUAGUGUUUCAAGAAUAGUGUUUCAAAUGUAAAGAAUACCUUCUUGCCAAAGUUUGUAACUUUCUGCCAUAGUGGUGACCAUCCAUUGCUUUGACUGUUCUGACCCAGUUACAUGACGGACAUCAUACAAGCAUCAUACGGACAUCAUCAUGAUGAACAUCAUACAAGGGUAAUUUUAAUGAUCACCACUUCUCUUUCUGGUGUAACCAACAUUUUUGGGGGAGCAAGUCCUGUUGAGCUUAGUGAAAUGUAUAUGUUUGUAAAUGACUUGACUAGCAAGCCAGAGGUUGCCGGUUUGAAUCCCCGCUGGUAUGUUUCCCAGACUAUGGGAAACACUGAAAUCGGGCAGCAGCAAUAUAGGAAGGUGCUGAAAGGCAUCAUCUCAUAUUGUGUGGGAGAUGGCAAUGGUAAACUCCUCCUUUAUUCUACCAAAGACAACCACAGGGCUCUGUGGUCUCCAGGAGUUGACACCGACUCGACAGCACAAUUUAAGUAAGCGUGCCCAGGGUCAAACUGCACAAAAGUGAGGUAGUGUGAUCUUGGCUUUCAUCUGAGACACCUUGCUUGGGGUUGCUGGGUCAUUCGGUAUACUAUACACUUCUUAAGGCUCUGGCGCUCUUCUGCCAUCUACUAGUCAUAUCAAUAUGAUAUGACAACUUUCCUGGUAUUGCAUUGUUUUUCCUGGCUAGCUGCCUUCAUUGCUGCCAGCUUUUUCAGUGGCAGGAGUGAUGCUUCCCUGUUCUUUCACAUGUGGAAUCUCUGGAAGCCCUGUUACUGUAUGAACUAGGAACCUCACCUUGAUAACAUCUGUUAACACAAAAUUGUUUUGUUUGCUGUAGUGCAUCUACAGAAAAAUUUGACCUAAACAUAUUUUCAGCCAUAGGCAAUGUUCUGAUGGGUCACUAUAACAAAAUGUUAAAUGUGGUGGUUUGGUUCCGAAAUGAAAUGUCUGGCUAUCAGCAAGAGCCUCCUUAUAUGUAAUCUUUCCUUAAAUAAUUUGCAAUUUGAACAUUGCAGUGUGCAUUCAUGCAACAUACAUACAUACAUAUUUAAUACUAGAAAGAGAAACAUUAAGCAGACUGAUUGUUGUUCCUCUAGAAUGGAAUUCAUCUUCCUUUAUCCUCCAGGUUUCCCAGGGGUUGCGGAAGUUCGGUAUUGUGUUCCUUCAUUUAUUCACAAAUGUCUGGCUUGUCUUGAUCAAAAAAGUGUCAGUAAUGAACACUGAAUUAGGGGAGGUGUGGAGAAUUUAUAAAUGGAUCCAUGUGAUCACAUCCUCCCCCCACACCUCCAGUUAAUUCUUUCCUCACCUCUCCCAUUUAAAGACGAGGAAGAAAGAGCAAUGCAGAUCUGGCGACAGUUUUUUACUUCUAUCAAUUUCUCUAAUUAAUAUUUCUUUCUGCCAUUAAUUCAUCUCCUCCUGAAGAAUCCUUGUUUUCAUGCAUGCUGACAUUUGUGUUAAGAUUAUGAUGAUCACUUUCUUCCUUUUCAAAGUUCAUUUUUAUGAAAAACCACCAAAUGUUUUAAACACCUAAAUAAAAGAAUAACUGCACAGGA